GGUCUUGUGGUCUAGUGGUAUGAUUCUUGCUUAGGGCAUAACCCUAACCCUGAUUGCAAGAGGCCCCGUGUUCGAUCCACGGCAAGACCC